CGUGAGAUGUGGUUAGUCCCGCAACGAGCGCAACCCUCGCCUUUAGUUGCCAGCAUUCAGUUGGGCACUCUAGAGGGACUGCCGGUGGUCAAACCGGAGGAAGGUGGGGAUGACGUCAAGUCCUCAUGGCCUUUAUGUCUAGGGCUACACACGUACUACAAUGGCCGGUACAAAGGGCAGCCACUCAGCGAUGAGGCGCUAAUCCCAUAAAGCCGGUCUCAGUCCGGAUCGCAGUCUGCAACUCGACUGCGUGAAGUUGGAAUCGCUAGUAAUCGUAGAUCAGCAUGCUACGGUGAAUACGUUCCCGGGCCUU
rnacentral:rRNA from 1 species